GCGAUGAUAUCUUCAGUUUUCUUUUACAAUUGUUGGGAUUGGGUUCGCAGCUGUCUCUCGACUGAAUUGUGAUCAGAUCCGUUGAAAUUCGUCUCGUUAUAUUAAUCAGAAUUUUAAUCGAUGGAGAACGACGAUCUCCGUUAAAUUCCCUGGCCUUUUCUUGACAAAGGAGGUCUUCCUGAUUGUAAACUUCAUACGCGAAUCGACGUCGCAAUCGCCGUGGUGCGAUCAAAAGAAAAUGGCCGCCGCCGCGGCAGCCGCACUGCUCGACGAGCUCAUGGGCAGAAACAGAAACGUCCUGCCUAAUGAGAAACCCAAAGAGCUUAAUUGGGAGGAUCCUGAGUUUUGCAAAUUAUAUCUGGUGAAAUUCUGUCCUCAUGACCUAUUCGUUAAUACAAGAGCGGACUUGGGUGCAUGUCCUAAGGUACACGAUGAUGAGGCUAGGGAACUAUUUGAAAAGGCGCCACAUUCUUAUCGUAAACAGCAAUAUGAAGAUGAGUUUAUCAGGUAUUGUCAAAGUAUGUUAAAUGAAGUGGAGAGAAAAAUCAUAAAGGGAAAACAACGGUUGGCACUAAUUGGGAGAACAGAAGCGCCGACGUUGACUCCAGCCCAGACUCAAAGAAAUGAGGAGCAGAUUGCUCUAUUGACGGAGAAGAUAAAUAAGUUGGUAGAAGAGGCUGAACAAAGUGGAAUUCAAGGCAAUGUAGAGCAAGCACAGGGCCUAAUGCGUCUUUGUGACCAGUUAAAAGAAGAACGCGAGACUUUGAGGAAGUCCAAUGAUAAUAGUCAUUACAACCAAACUGCUGAAUUAGCAGCUGCGCAAGAGAAACAAAUGGAGGUGUGCGAUGUGUGCGGCGCGUUUCUUAUCGUAGGAGAUGCUCAGCAGCGAAUUGAUGAUCAUCUGAUGGGAAAACAGCAUGUGGGCUAUGCGAGACUGAAAAGCGCUCUUCAAGAAAUUAUGAGCAAGCGCGAAAAGGCGCGCGAUGAGAAAGAACAGAGGAGAGAGGAAGAACGAAAGCAAAGAGCGCGAGCAAAUGAAGAGCUCGAUAGGCGGCGGAGAGAUGGCGACAGGGAUAGAGAUCGCGAUAGAGACAGAGAUAAACGUCGUAGGCGAAUAGAUGAUGAUAAAAGCCGUUAUGAUUCGAGCGGUUAUAGAAAUUCUGGGCAUAGAAGUAGAAGUAGAUCGCGAGACAAACACCACCGGGACGAAGAUAGUCACCGACGUCACGGUCGAGAUAAAGGAAAUCGCGAUCAUCGAAGCUCCAGCCAUCAUACCCGUCGCCGUCAUCGCUCGCGAAGUCGAAGUCACAAGUAACUUCUCUUGAUUGGUUAGUGAGUGAGAAGUAAUCCAGGAGAAGCCCGCGGAGUUCCGUGGAAUCGUGGAUGCGCGCUUUCAAGAUGAAUCGAAUGAAUGUGAAUAAAUGCAAUCAGGUUGAAAUUUAUUCAAUAUAACAUAAAUUCAUGUUUAUUUAAAAAUAAAAUGAAUUGUUUCUAUAAAAAUACAGCGUUUUUCUCUUUAAUAUAAGUGAUCUUAUCGCGCUUUGUUUUCAAAUAAUCGAAUUUGAAUUGAAUUUUAUUUUUCAAGAAUUUAUCUUGUUCUUUCAUAUAAUUUAUAAGAAGUUAUCGUACUUCAUUAUGAUGAUGUAAAUAAAAGAAAAGGAGAUCAUCUCUAAAGCCGAUGGUUUUGGACUUAUUUCUUUUCGCUUCUCGGGCACAGGACUAUCUCUGUAGGUUCGUUAAAAAUCUUGGUCAUACUUCAUUAAGAGAGAGAAAGAGAGAGAGAGAGAGAAAGAUUUAGUGGUUUAGUGUGGAGGGGACACAGCUCUCAGUGCCCGCUUCAUAGAGCUUCGUCCACGACUGCAAAUGCACGUGUGCACAACUACGAGUGCGCCCUGCAAACGUGUGACUGUGACUAUACGAACCUCUAGCUUCUGCCACGCAAUUGACGAGGAAGAAGAGAAGAACAAAGAAGGGACUUCUCGAGAACUCAUCCAAUACAUCGUUUACCAUAUUGUUAAGGUAAAGAUUUUGUAUAAUCUUAACAAUGAUAAGAGUGUGUGAAAGAGAGAGGAGGAGAGACGAAGAUAAAAUUUGCGUCGAAAUCACAGACACACAAAAUCGAUACAAUUCGUGUUCCGAACAUUGUUAUUUUAGGCCACCUAUACAUAAAUAAAAUGCAAGGUAAAUUGUGUAAGAUACAAUUUGCUGUGUGCCGCGCUAAUAAUAAUACUCGUAAGAUUGUUAUUUGAAAUUAAUAAAAGAAUGCUACAUA
rnacentral:misc_RNA from 1 species